rnacentral:rRNA from 1 species
CGAACGCUGGCGGCGUGCUUAACACAUGCAAGUCGAACGGAAAGGCCCUGCUUUUGUGGGUGCUCGAGUGGCGAACGGGUGAGUAACACGUGAGUAACCUGCCCUUGACUUUGGGAUAACUUCAGGAAACUGGGGCUAAUACCGGAUAGGAGCUCCUGCUGCAUGGUGGGGGUUGGAAAGUUUCGGCGGUUGGGGAUGGACUCGCGGCUUAUCAGCUUGUUGGUGGGGUAGUGGCUUACCAAGGCUUUGACGGGUAGCCGGCCUGAGAGGGUGACCGGCCACAUUGGGACUGAGAUACGGCCCAGACUCCUACGGGAGGCAGCAGUGGGGAAUAUUGCACAAUGGGCGGAAGCCUGAUGCAGCAACGCCGCGUGCGGGAUGACGGCCUUCGGGUUGUAAACCGCUUUCGCCUGUGACGAAGCGUGAGUGACGGUAAUGGGUAAAGAAGCACCGGCUAACUACGUG